rnacentral:rRNA from 1 species
GAUGAACGCUAGCGGCAGGCCUAACACAUGCAAGUCGAGGGAGGAGCCUUCGGGCUUCGACCGGCGUACGGGUGCGUAACGCGUAUACAAUCUGCCUUUCACAUAGGGAUAGCCCGAAGAAAUUUGGAUUAAUACCUAAUGGUAUAUAGAUGUGGCAUCACCUUUAUAUUAAAGCUGAGGCGGUGAAAGAUGAGUAUGCGUUCUAUUAGCUAGUUGGAGAGGUAACGGCUCCCCAAGGCGACGAUAGAUAGGGGUUCUGAGAGGGAUAUCCCCCACACUGGUACUGAGAUACGGACCAGACUCCUACGGGAGGCAGCAGUGAGGAAUAUUGGACAAUGGUCGGAAGACUGAUCCAGCCAUGCCGCGUGCAGGAAGACGGCCUUAUGGGUUGUAAACUGCUUUUGCAGGGGAAGAAUAAGGACUACGCGUAGUUUGACGACGGUACUCUGCGAAUAAGCAUCGGCUAACUCCGUG